rnacentral:lncRNA from 1 species
CUGGGCAGCCCAUUCCAGUUUGGCCUGACAACCCUUUCCAGGUAGAAAUCCUUCCCCGUGUCCAACCUGAACCUCUGCCCUGGUGCAGUUUGAAGCAAUUCCCUCUUGUCCUGUCCCUGGCUGCCUGGGAGAAGAGGCCAGCCAGUCACCAGCUACUGCAACCAUGGGCUCUGUGGAAAGAGGGUCUUGCAUGGCCUGUGUUGGCAUCACCCUUGAUCACAGCCCAUCACCCCCAUGCCCAGCCCCUGCUGGGCUGCUCCAUUACAUUGGGUUGAGACAACAACACAAGAAUUUGUGUUGUGACUCGAAUAACAAGGGCUUCAUCGGGCUCAGUGUGGAGGAAUCACCUUGGAUUUGGAGUGCCUCCCACUAGGCAAUCCUGACACAAGACAAACCAGCUACUGAUGAGGGC